GAUAAUCUGUAGCUCAGUGGUACAGCAUCUUGCUUCGCAUGCAGGAGAACCCAGGUUCAACUCCCAAUGGCAUCU